rnacentral:rRNA from 1 species
AGACAGCAGUAGCCGCGGUAAUACGGAGGGUGCAAGCGUUAAUCGGAAUUACUGGGCGUAAAGCGCACGCAGGCGGUCUGUCAAGUCAGAUGUGAAAUCCCCGGGCUUAACCUGGGAACUGCAUUUGAAACUGGCAGGCUAGAGUCUUGUAGAGGGGGGUAGAAUUCCAGGUGUAGCGGUGAAAUGCGUAGAGAUCUGGAGGAAUACCGGUGGCGAAGGCGGCCCCCUGGACAAAGACUGACGCUCAGGUGCGAAAGCGUGGGGAGCAAACAGGAUUAGAUACCCCUGUAGUCCCUGUCUCUUAUAC